AUUGAACGCUGGCGGCAUGCUUUACACAUGCAAGUCGAACGGUAACAGGCCGCAAGGUGCUGACGAGUGGCGAACGGGUGAGUAAUGCAUCGGAACGUGCCCAGUCGUGGGGGAUAACUACUCGAAAGAGUAGCUAAUACCGCAUACGAUCUAUGGAUGAAAGCGGGGGACCGUAAGGCCUCGCGCGAUUGGAGCGGCCGAUGUCAGAUUAGGUAGUUGGUGGGGUAAAGGCUCACCAAGCCAACGAUCUGUAGCUGGUCUGAGAGGACAACCAGCCACACUGGGACUGAGACACGGCCCAGACUCCUACGGGAGGCAGCAGUGGGGAAUUUUGGACAAUGGGCGCAAGCCUGAUCCAGCAAUGCCGCGUGCAGGAAGAAGGCCUUCGGGUUGUAAACUGCUUUCGUACGGAACGAAACGGCUCUGGUUAAUACCCGGGGCUAAUGACGGUACCGUAAGAAUAAGCACCGGCUAACUACGUG
rnacentral:rRNA from 1 species